GGGAGAAAUCCUGAAGCAGCAACGCCGCGUGGAGGAUGACGGGUCUAUGACUUGUAAACUCCUGUAAAGAAGGAAAAAAUUCCCAUUAGAUGGGAGAUGAUGGUACUUCUGGAGUAAGCCCCGGCUAACUACGUGCCAGCAGCCGCGGUAAUACGUAGGGGGCAAGCGUUGUCCGGAUUUACUGGGUGUAAAGGGUGCUCAGGCGGAUUUGUAAGUCAGAGGUGAAAUCUUACAGCUUAACUGUGAAACUGCCUUAGAUACUGCAAGCCUAGAGUAUGGAAGAGAGUGAUGGAAUAUCUGGUGUAGCAGUGAAAUGCGUAGAGAUCAGGUAGAACACCAAUGGCGAAGGCAGUCACUUGGUCCAUUACUGACGCUAAAGCACGAAAGCGUGGGUAGCAAACA
rnacentral:rRNA from 1 species